rnacentral:rRNA from 1 species
CCUACGGGUGGCAGCAGUGAGGAAUAUUGGUCAAUGGACGAGAGUCUGAACCAGCCAAGUAGCGUGAAGGAUGACUGCCCUAUGGGUUGUAAACUUCUUUUAUCUGGGAAUAAAAUGUUCCACGUGUGGGAUUUUGUAUGUACCAUAUGAAUAAGGAUCGGCUAACACCGUGCCCGCCGCCGCGGUAAUACGGAGGAUCCGAGCGUUAUCCGGAUUUAUUGGGUUUAAAGGGAGCGUAGGUGGAUUGUUAAGUCAGUUGUGAAAGUUUGCGACUCAACCGUAAAAUUGCAGUUGAAACUGGCAGUCUUGAGUACAGUAGAGGUGGGCGGAAUGCGUGGUGUAGCGGUGAAAUGCUGAGAUAUCACGAAGAACUCCGAUUGCGAAGGCAGUUCACUGGACUGCAACUGACACUGAGGCUCGAAAGUGUGGGUAUCAAACAGGAUUAGAUACCCGGGUAGUC